UUUUACAACAUUUGGGUUUUUAGCUUUUGAAAAAUCAAAAUAUAAACCAAAUACAUUUUAAAACUAUCUUUUAUCAAAAAAAAAAAAAAAAAAACAAAACAAAAAAAAAACAAAAAAAAAAACAAAAAAAAAAAAACAAAAAAUCUAAAAUGACUGUGAAAAGAACUUUUUAGACGCACAUAAAAUUUCCCCGUAUUUUGUUUUGAUCGGGUAAAGAAAAGAACGGGGUAUACGAAUGGAAGCAGAGGCGAAGACAGGAGAUGGAGGCUCGUCUGAUCGGGCAAAAUCACGAAUGAAACACGAAGGCACAAAGGAAUCGGUCUCAUAACUCGAUUUCGAUCAUCGCUUGAUCGAGGAAAGGAUCGCGAAGGAAAUCUUGUGAGAAGCAAUACUUGUGAUCGAGAAAAGCAGAAGAACGCAUGAACGUGACCAGCGAUAGGAAGACCUUGGUGGUUUUCGAUCCACCACGAAAAGGAACAAGAACGGAAGCGGAAAUCGAAGGGGUCCAAUGGUGGUUGAGAAAAUCACAAGGAGGGGCUGAGGGAGGGACUUCGGUCCUCGUCUUCGGCAUCAUCAGAUCACAAGAAAAGCAACAGUCGAAGGAGGUCACGUGGUGGUCGGAACUCACCGCAGCAGCGGCUGUGGAGGUGAGUGGAUGGGGCUGCUCCGGCAGCUCCCCUGUUUUUUUUUUUUUUGAUUGUUUUGAUAGAAAUAGUUGGAAAUCGGAUGUUUUGGGUGUUGAUGUUUGAUAGGGAAUCGAUGUGUGUUUGGAUUGAGGUUGUGAAGUUGAUAACACACAACGUAAAUCAGAAAGGGUUGCUACCCUCUUGUUCAUCGGAAAUAGCUUACACCUGAUGGUGUUCUUGGCAGAAAACGAAGGAGCAGACCGAAAAUCAAGAAAGAAAGGUAGACACGAGUUUAAGAACCAAGUGUUCUUACUGGAAACAAGAUGCAGAAAGAAAAGAAUAUGGAUUGGGUUUGUUUCAUUUGAUUAAAUUUAUUAGCUAAAUAGAUAAAAAAAAAUUAAUCUCUAUAUGGAGUACAUUGUGAUCUAUUUUGAGUGUAUUUCUUUCUCUUGUUUGAGUGAUCAGUGGAGUGUUGCAAGUGUGGUUUUGUUGUUCGAGUUUGACAGGAAGCAGAUGAAGGAAAAUUGUGUUUUUGGGUUUGACUGCAGUAUCAAUUUAGAAGAGGGAAACACGUUUCUUUUACUUUGAGUGUGCCUGGCUGUCUUUAUUAUUUAUUUAUUUAUUUGUAUUAGAUGUAUUUGUAUAUUGUCCUAAUUCAUGUAUGGAUGGUAUGGUAUAGUGUAGGAGUUGAUCACUCUUGUAUUUAGAUACAUAUUUAUACAUUUCAAACAUGUAUAUAUGUAGUGUUGUUACAAUAUUAUUAUUGUACACAUAUAUACAUUGUGGUUAUUUGAUGUUUCUUUGCUA